rnacentral:rRNA from 1 species
UACGAAGGGGGCAAGCGUUACUCGGAAUUACUGGGCGUAAAGCGUGCGUAGGUGGUGAGUUAAGUCUGUCGUGAAAGCCCCGGGCUCAACCUGGGAAUGGCGAUGGAUACUGGCUCGCUAGAGUGCGGUAGAGGAGAGUGGAAUUCCCGGUGUAGCAGUGAAAUGCGUAGAGAUCGGGAGGAACAUCAGUUGCGAAGGCGGCUCUCUGGACCGGCACUGACACUGAGGCACGAAAGCGUGGGGAGCAAACAGG